rfam:Schistosoma mattheei strain Denwood, Zambia genome assembly, scaffold: SMTD_scaffold0006512
GCACUGCUGAGGAGUCCUACACUGGGACGAAACGUCCGUCCGGUGC